ensembl:lncRNA
GUGUACUUUUUUCAUAAAAUUUAUUUUUCUUGUCUCAUUUCAGUACAAUCAUUAGUUAUAUUGUAUAGUCAAGAUUUUCAUAUAUUUUGUCUUCUAGUAACAUUAAUGAUAUAAAGAACUGAAAACUGAAUUGCACUCAAGUGUAUAAAAUUUGAAUGUAUUUUGGUCACAAAAGUAAAUGAAAUGUAAACGACAAAUAAAUUUAAAUUAUUUUUCAUGUAUUUUGCUUCAAAAACUCAAAAUUAGCUAUUAAAAUUAAAAAGCAAAACGUUUUAAUUAUUAAAUUAAAAUUAUAGCUGAAAUUUUUAUUUAAAUUUUUUAAAGUUUAAUUAAAACAUGAAAUAUUCUGAUAAAAAAAAUGAAACGAUUUGUGAUUCCCCUGGGCAUCGUUCAUCCAGUUGCCCCCGUGUUUGGACUUACACGUAUGCAAAUUUGAGACUGAAUCGCUUAAUAUUGCACACGGGGCUCCUCAGCAGCCACGUCCCGCUGUUGUGAAGGCCACGCUCGUCUGUAGGUGCCUCUGGAGUCACAAAUCGGAAUAGGAAGGUGAGAAUGACUUAGAGUUUAUGGGGAGGAGUGCUGGUUCAUCACAAGAACAGGGUGCUGUGAAGGCCAGGGGGGCACACACAGGCUGCAUUCUCUUCUCCCACUCUGAUUUUCCUUAUUUUCAGCCUGACAUCUCUUUUUUUUUUUUAAUAGAUUUGCUUUGAGUUCUUGCACAUUUACAAAAUCCAUUUGAAAACUUGUUGGUUGGAGAAUGGAAGUGAUUUUAUGGUUGGAAAGAUUGUCCACAGGUUUUUUUAAAAGGAGUGGUUUCUGAUUCUGCAUUCAGAAAGAGCCACAGUCUUCGUAUUAAUAAGCUUGUCCAGUUUAAGAAUUAGAUGAAGUCAAAACACAGGACCCAGAUGUGGAAAGUAUGUUUCUGUGACAUUGUCAGUGGCUUGGCGACGUCGUCCCAACGAAUUCUCUCCCUUAAAUGGCAGCUUUUAAUCUGCGCUGGAGUCAUCGGCUGUGGAGCGACGGAGGAGAGCAGUGCCAGGGAAAAUCCUCCCCGUGCACCAUAGAGUCGCCAUUUUCAGACGGAGUCCUGAUUUCCAAAGAAAAUUUAAAACAUGAAAAUAAAUUAGUAAGGACUAAUAAUCACUGUAUUACUACAGCUAUUGUACACAUAUUUCCCCCAUAGAUUUGACAAGGAAAAAAUCUUUUUAUAACACUAGCCAUUCUUUGAGGCCUUCUUUCCCCUGAAGGUUUUUCUUGCUCAUGGGAACAAGCUGGCCAUCGUCCCUGUCCCCCGCGAUUUGGAGAGCCAGUCCUGUCUUAGGUGAGACAGAUGGAUGACCAGUGCCCCCAGCCAGAAACUCUAGACUUUUCUCCCACAUCCUUCCCUGGCCCAACAACCUACGCUGGCUCCCUCUGACCACUGCAUGCAGUCCAACCUUUGCUUGACCUCCCAGUUCCUGGAGUCAUCCCCUCCCCAGCAUCCUCACUUUCAUUCUAGACUGAUUUUCCCAACUCCACUCCUCCCUGAGUCCCAGGCUAGUUCCCUCUCUGCUCCAUUUUGAGUCCUGACUCCAUCAGAAAGCCUUCCUGGACCAUCCCAGCCCGUGGAGUUUAAUAUCCAGUUCUGUCAUAGCAUUAGCUCUUAAGUGUUUCUUGGGAUUCUUCACUCAUCUGUUUGUUUCUCCAUCAAAUGUUGAUUAAACCCCUCUCUGCAUCAGACUCUGCUCUAGGUACUGAGGUGCACAAGUGAGCAAGUCACAGCCUUGCUCUUUACAAGGACAUCGUUCUAUUCCCCCACGGCGGGGACUGGAGAGGAACACGCACUGCCAUGGCAGUGCGUUGUCUUGCCUCCAGGUUUAGCUGGAGCUGUGAGUCCUUCGGGGAUGCUUGGGAGGUAAACUUCAGAGGAAGUCUAAGACCGGGCUGGGCAGGGCCUGGAUCCUUGACUUUGCCAAGGUUUCAUCAGACUGAGUUUGGGCACAUGUGGCCUGGUCUGGAAAGGGAAACUGGCAGCAGAGACCAGGUAGAACGUCCUGAAGUCAUCCACGGAGGAGAUGGGUCAGGUUUAAAUGAAGGCCCUGUGGGUAGGACUGGA